GGGCGGGGGGGGGGGAACUGGUCAGGAGCAGUUCCACAGGGCCCAGGGCCCCUCUCUGGCACGGCUUAUUGUUGUGAUGACUCCCUUGCUUGCUCCUGGCAUCUUACUCCGACAGAGCUGAUGCUUGUGAAUGCUGCUGUUCCCCAGCUCCAGUUGAUGGUUAAUUGGAUGCCUGCUGUUCCACCCGGGAGGUGGGGUGGGGGUGGAGGGGGUGGGAUAGAUGGCAUUUCCCACGACUGUCCCCAGAGGCCGUCCUUGCGCCCACAGGACCAACAACAUAGCCGGGGCAGGAGCGUGGCCCUAGAGGCGAUCGGCCUGGCCACUCACUAGCUGUGUGACCUCAAGUGACCUGGCUUCUCCAGCGUUAGUCCCUGGACCGUAAAAGGACUAAGUCAGAGGGCACUCCUCGUGGCUGAAGAGGGAAGGGAAGACGCGGGAAGUCUCGGGAAUCGCUGCCCGCUGCGGGAAGCAGGAGAAAGCCCUCGGUGGCCGCGCUACGCCAGACCUCGCCUCUCAGAGGGGCGGCGCUCCGACCAAGCCCGCAGGUGGAGGGCGGGCGCACGCUCUGGGGCGCCGGGGCGAUAGGCGCAGGGAGCUCCGCCUGCCGACGUUUUUAAUGUCGGGAUUUACAGCUAACUGGAAGCCAAUUAACUCUUGGGGGACAGGCGGCGCUCAGAGCUGCGGAGACGCGGGAGGUGAAGUCUCGCCUGCCCCUGAACUCAGGCGAUGCCAGCUGCACCCGACCGGAAGUGUGCACCACAGAGAGGCCGGCCGGCCCCGGAACGCCUAGAGCGGCACCGGAAGCUCUCCGGGCGGGCCCUUCGGCCGAUUUCCGGCCGCGGCGUGCGGGCUCCUGUGCAGGCUUUGUCGGCCGGUCUGCGGGGCGGGCGGCUGGCAGUCCGCGUGCGGGGCGCCGGCGUCCUCUCGCCGUUGGGCGCCGGGUGCUGACUGGUGACCAGAAGGGGACUCGGAGCCUGGGUUUCUGGGCGUGGGAACCUGCAGAAGGCAG
rnacentral:lncRNA from 1 species